AGAUACAUCACAGACGUAUUCUCAUUUAAAGUCCCAAACACCUUCGGGUGGUCCCCCCCUUUUUUCUUAUAGUACCAGGGAUGGAAACAGUGAUCGGCAGCUGGCAGUGUUCCCCUGCCAGCCCUAUAUGGGGCUGUCCGUGCAAAGUGUGCCUAAUCUGUCCACACAAACGGCAUACUUUAAUUAUGGUUUAAUUUGCCAUUCAGUUGCUGAACACACCACUUAGCUGCUUGCAAACAUCACGCACUGUUUAGACCUUUUUUUUUUUUGUCUGCAUCCCGGGAUUGCGAUGCACUCACUGUGCUUCCCUUUCCCCCCCUUUGGGGGUAUGGGCGGUUACCGUCAGUGCAUCGGCGUUACGUGCCAUCCGAGUGAUGUCCUUAUUGGGCGUCGCCCUGUUGUAUGGCUAGUAUCCAUCACAGCUGAUCAAGUGGGUGUGUGCAGCAUCUCUUCAGUACAGGCAAUUGUGCUGUCUGAUUGAGGGCCCCGCCCCCACACUGGUCAGCUGACGUGACGUUGGGGGCAGUCUGGUGCAUUUGCUGGACGUAUUUAAGCACCUUCCCAGCUCUUCAGCCAGUGGCCAUUUUCUAUGCAGGCCUUACAGCUGUCACUAGCUGUGGCCAUCCUACUCGCAUUCCAGAUACCUACCUGUACUAUAAGGAUACACUACAAUUUUACUUUACCCAUGGUCGCUGUGCUGUCUGGGAGGGAUGCUUUAUGCGCUCUGCUGUUUGCCUGCUGGUCUGCCACCUCUGUCCCGGGACAGGCAUAUGUUUGGUCUUAACUGUAUUUACAUUACCACUUUGACAUACUAUAUAUCCCACUACAUCCGCCCCUGAUGAGUGUUUUUCAUAU